AGGGUCGGAGUGAGUGGGUGGUCUACCGCGCAUGCGUCUGCCCACGCUCAAAACCGCCUCCCCCGCCGUCGCCGCACUCGCUUCCCACUCUUGUUCGCCGUCGCCGUUGCCGUCGCCGCCGCUGCCGCUCCGCUGUCCCCCUCUUGCCUCGCCUCCCCCGAUACCGCUGCCGCCUCGAACGCCACGCCGCAAACCCCGACACACCGCCAUCUGCCGAUCUGACCCAACCACGCAUGCCCGACGGUUGCCACACUCUGCCGCUAGCCGGCCCCGAUGCACCUUCCCACCAAUCCGUCCCCCCCCCCCCCCCCCCCCCCCCCCCCCAAUCCGCGGUCGGCUUGGGGCUCCCGGCGUCAUCACCGCCAGCCUCCCCCAGGCUCCACCGUUGACGGUGCCGUGUCGUCGCGCCGCCGUUCCCUACGCUUCGCCGCCGACCUCCCCACACUCACUGGCUCUCCGUGCGAGGUCAAAGGCCUGUCACGACGCCGCUCCUCCCGCGACCUCCAAUCGGACCGGCAUCCCAUUCAUCCCGCUGGCAAUGUAUCGGGGAACUGCAUCAUCACUGGCAUCUGACUGGAUCGCCGCCCACGGAUCAGCAAGCCCCACCGGCCACCUAGCUCCACGCCCCUUGCAUGUGCAGCCCAUCAUCGAGAAUGUCAAGGACCUGCACAACCUAGGCUUCACCUUCCCCGACAUCAAAGUCAAUAUUGAGCUUGCUUCCAAUGCACUGGGUUGUGCAGAAAGUGGUCUGACGACUCUUGCAGCUGAUGCAGCAAUUGGUGCACACACCAGAAGGGGCGAUUGAUGCGACGGGCGAUAACUGAGAGGAAGCACGAAUCGUGGAUGUUGCUAACAUUGCUGCAAAUAUUCAGUGCUGUCUCGACCUGAGAUGGGUGGAGGCCUCUGAGAAUAGCAGAGAUGGGACAUUGCUGAGCAGGUAGUGUUCGUUGCUAGCUGAGUAACCACAUGAAGCCAUUACUCUCUACAAACAGUAGGUGCAGUAGGUGAUACAUCUGUUAACUAGCUGCUUAUUGGUUGGCUGGAAUAACUGAACAUGCACUCCAUCUGAUGCAGGGGUGAAGCUAUCGUAAACAUUAAGGUGCUGCACCCUUAAGUAAUAAAUAAAAUUUUCUUUUGAUAUGUGGUAAAUAUUAGCCAAUUUACCUAUAAAAGUUGCUUUUCACCCUGGUGCUUGUGCACCAGGCUAGCUUACCGUGGCGUCGCCCGGUCUGAUGUCCUUGCUAUGCUUCAGUUCGUGAAUUUUCAAUCUGAUCAUGCAUACAGUUGCUGGGGACUAAGAAUGUGCAGACCAUUCAUGAAUUGAGAAGAGAGGAAAUGUUGUUGGAUGCUUGGUGGAGAGAGUAGUAUCUCUAUAAAUCACUAGCAAGUUUUAAAUGUAGACAUGGUCUGUAGUUCAUUUUUUUAUGUGUCUAACUGUGAGUGUCUCUCAUAUUUCUAUUUUAUUUCCGUCUGUCCACUUAGUCUGAGGCAGAGUACCGAUCUCACUUCAGUACCUUGGCACUUCCUAAGGUACAGAAUUUUCUGCUUGCUAACAGGCCAGUUGCAAUGUCAAAUGUUCGGCAAACCUGUCUUGCCUUCUGCAGGCUCCUUUUUUUACUGGUAAGCCAUCAGGCAAAGGUGAUAUACUCGGCAACGGGGAAGUCAUCACCGUCAUCUAGCAAGACUUCUCUUACAUUUUUUGCCUAGGAUUGUUCGAAGUUUCAUUGUACUGAUGCAACAACUUUCUGCAAGUGCAAUCCAACAGUGGCUUCGAGGUGGUUUUCCUUAACCGCUGCAGUAGCGCCUUCCAUGAAGCAGUUUGCCACAGCAAAACUGCCAAAAGGCUUAGUGAGAUUUUUAAGUUGUCAAUUCUGUGUUCUUUUGUAGGUUUAGACUGGGCCACUCAGCAACUAACAGGAAGCAUGUUAGAGUGGUUUCUUUGCAAGAACAUAGCAAAUACGGUUUCUUUGCUGCAAAAAUGUAGGCUUCAAUUCUCUACGAAUUGGCUCUGUUGCUAUUAUUGCUUCGACUUCAGAUUCUCUUCUAGACUUAUUAUCAGAAUUUGUCUUGUGGUUUACUAACUUCUCAAUGCAAACAUCAACCCUGUACUACCCAAUUGGUAAAAAGCUAUAUAUGCAGCCACUUGUGAGUUUUUCUUUUUGCAACCUGUACUUCCAAACUAUCUUUGGCUAAUUUAGAAGCAAAUGUCAAUGUACUAAAACAAAGGAAAAAGUAAUCAAAAGAAUUCAUCUUACAUUAGCUGAGUUUCUUUCUGGGUAAUUGUUGGCUGGGUUGAUGGGUUAUGAGUCUGCGGGUGCUUGUGAAAAGUGGAGUUAAAAAGAAGAUUGAGCUGGUUGUUUAUUCCCCUUUACUGAGGUAUACGCUGGUCUUAAUGUACUUGUGUCCCGAAUAAUGAUAUGAGAUAGUUUAAAUCAUCUGUGCAUUAAUAUUUAAGUAUUAGCUUUACUCUCAGGGUUGAGUGAUAAAAAUAACUUAAAUCUUCUAAGCACGGAUCUUGUGUACCCUCACAUAAUGCAUGGAUUCUUGACCAGUACCUGCAUACCGCUGGGUCACCUUAAUUAUUUCUUUUUGGAAUGAUCACCUUGAUGUUUGUUGCAAUGCAUAGUGAUUCUUAAUUAACUAUUUGUCCAACUGCGAGAUGGAAUGCUUCUUAGGAAACAUUAAGGUUGACCAUCAUACCUUGUAGCACUCAGGGAUCUCUUCUACCUUGAUUUGCUUGAGUACCAUGAUUUUGGUAUGCACUUGGCAAGCCGUCUCCGCUCCUUUUAUUCUUCACAGGAAGCAUGCAUUGGAAAAGAAAAAGGAGAGGAUGCCAAUUGGGUGUGGACUUAUAUGGCUACUGUCCCUGAUGCCACAAAAUAAGAUGCCUGCAGUAAAAUUAGCCAUGAACAAGCGACCAGAACACUGGAAGUAAUGAAUUUGUUUUGAUCUUUUGCCGUUCUUGGUAAGUGUCUAAGUGAUCACUACAUUUUCCCUGUAUCCUCUACUAUUUUAACCAUGUGCACAAAAGCUUUAAAUGCAGGUCGAUACACUUGAAAUGAUUGCUUGACCCUAUGUGAGUCUUUUCCAGCGUGGUGUUUGAGAUAUGGUCUUGGGUUUUGUUGGCUUCAACAGUAGAUUCUCUCUAUAUUAAUAUAUGCUUGUUACCUUCCUGGUGACUUGUACCGAUCCUCCAAUGUGUGUCUGUGUACAAAUAAAUAUAACAUGCCUAUUUCCUAUUUGAGUGUUCUUCAACAGGAAUGCAGGAUUGAUGGAUGUUGAGAUCGAGAUGCAUUGCAAGCUAGCAAAAGCUGACACAAUGGAUCAUGCAGAAUCAUUAUUUGUUUUGACGGUUAUGAGGUUUUGUAUUGAGAUGUGUGGUGUUGCUUUUGACUAGGCGUUGUGUCCUUUACAGACAUCAAUAUCCUAAUAGACGUGUAUUUAUAAUUGAAGGAAGUUAUGGUUUGAUUGUUUAGCUUU